GACGAACGCUGGCGGCGUGCUUAACACAUGCAAGUCGAACGGAAAGGCCCUGCUUUUGUGGGGUGCUCGAGUGGCGAACGGGUGAGUAACACGUGAGUAACCUGCCCUUGACUUUGGGAUAACUUCAGGAAACUGGGGCUAAUACCGGAUAGGAGCUCCUGCUGCAUGGUGGGGGUUGGAAAGUUUCGGCGGUUGGGGAUGGACUCGCGGCUUAUCAGCCUGUUGGUGGGGUAGUGGCUUACCAAGGCUUUGACGGGUAGCCGGCCUGGGAGGGUGACCGGCCACAUUGGGACUGAGAUACGGCCCAGACUCCUACGGGAGGCAGCAGUGGGGAAUAUUGCACAAUGGGCGGAAGCCUGAUGCAGCAAUGCCGCGUGCGGGAUGACGGCCUUCGGGUUGUAAACCGCUUUCGCCUGUGACGAAGCGUGAGUGACGGUAAUGGGUAAAGAAGCACCGGCUAACUACGUG
rnacentral:rRNA from 1 species